rnacentral:rRNA from 1 species
UAGGGAAUAUUGGGCAAUGGUGGGAACACUGACCCAGCCAUUCCGCGUGCAGGAAUAAGGUCCUCUGGAUUGUAAACUGCUUUUAUUAGGGAAGAAAUGAUUUAUUUAUAAAUAGUUGACGGUACCUAAUGAAUAAGCACCGGCUAACUCCGUGCCAGCAGCCGCGGUAAUACGGAGGGUGCAAGCGUUAUCCGGAUUCACUGGGUUUAAAGGGUGCGUAGGCGGUUAUUUAAGUCAGUGGUGAAAGCUUGUAGCUCAACUAUAGGAUUGCCAUUGAAACUGAGUAACUUGAAUAUAAUUGUAGUGGUUGGAAUACAUCAUGUAGCGGUGAAAUGCAUAGAUAUGAUGUAGAACACCGAUUGCGAAGGCAGAUCACUAAAUUAUGAUUGACGCUGAGGCACGAAAGCGUGGGUAUCGAACAGG